GAUACCAACAAUGCCAGUCCAGGAUUGGAGUGGAAAGAGAGCCAAACCCCAUCACACCUUGUGUUCAAGACACUGUUUCAAGCAGAAUUCCGGACAGAAACAACUUAAAGGAGAAAGAAUGCGCGGUGGCUCAUGGUUCCCAGGGAUAGCUGUCUGUCAAGAAGGAGAAGGCGUGGUCGAGUCUGUGACCGGAGAGCGUGGAGCAGAGGCUGCUCCUAUGUGGGAAGCAGCGAGCUCAGUCAGGAGCCAGAAUCUCUGCCCCAGUAACGCACUCCUGCUGGUGGGGCCACAACCUCUAAACCAGGGCCACCAGCAGGGGCUAAGUGUGCAGCUGUGGUGAGAGCGAGGAUUAGAGACCCGCACACCUGGCUGGCUAGCCUGAGAGAGACACAGAGACAGAACAAAGGCCUACAGCUCCUGACCCCGCCUCCUUCCUACCCAGGGUCAAUUAGGCCUAGAAUUUCCUGUAGGCCUUGUCCUCAGCUGGAGGCAAUAAAUCAUGGUAUGGGUUUCUGUUGCACAGUGGUUGUCAGUCUGACAUCUCCCACACAUUGNNCUCAUACCCANGCNGGUACAAGGCCGUAUGUCUAUCUGCAGGGGAAUGCUGGGGGCACUUAGCUNUNAAGUGCAAGUGUACUUUUCGAUUAAAGUCCCUUUUCUCUGUCUCAAGGC
rnacentral:lncRNA from 1 species